GAUGAACGCUAGCGGCAGGCCUAACACAUGCAAGUCGAGGGGCAGCACAGAAACAGCAAUGUUUUGGUGGCGACCGGCGGACGGGUGCGUAACGCGUAUGCAACCUACCUUUAACAGGGGGAUAACGGAGAGAAAUUUCCACUAAUACCCCAUAACAUCGAUCAAGGCAUCUUGAUUGGUUGAAAACUCCGGUGGUUAAAGAUGGGCAUGCGUUGUAUUAGGUAGUUGGUGAGGUAAUGGCUCACCAAGCCUACGAUACAUAGGGGGACUGAGCGGUUAGCCCACCACACAGGUACUGAGACACGGACCAGACUCCUACGGGAGGCAGCAGUGAGGAAUAUUGGUCAAUGGGGGCAACCCUGAACCAGCCAUGCCGCGUGCAGGAAGACGGCUCUACGAGUUGUAAACUGCUUUUAAACAGGGAUAAAGCACAGUAUGUAUACUGUGUUGAAGGUACUGUAAGAAUAAGGAUCGGCUAACUCCGUGCCAGCCGCCGCAGUAA
rnacentral:rRNA from 1 species